AAAGAAUUAGUUAAUCCGUAUAAUAUAAUCUUGUCAAGAUUAAGUAAUCAAAAGAUAUUUUUUA
rnacentral:tRNA from 1 species